UACGGAGGGUGCAAGCGUUAUCCGGAUUCACUGGGUUUAAAGGGUGCGUAGGCGGGCAGGUAAGUCAGUGGUGAAAUCUCUGGGCUUAACCCGGAAACUGCCAUUGAUACUAUCUGUCUUGAAUACCGUGGAGGUUAGCGGAAUAUGUCAUGUAGCGGUGAAAUGCUUAGAUAUGACAUAGAACACCAAUUGCGAAGGCAGCUGGCUACACGAAUAUUGACACUGAUGCACGAAAGCGUGGGGAGCAAACAGG
rnacentral:rRNA from 1 species